rnacentral:rRNA from 1 species
UCUAGUGGUAAUAGCAUAGAGGAAACACCUGUUCUCAUCCCGAACACAGAAGUUAAGCUCUAUAGCGCCGAUGAUAGUUCACGCGAAAGUAGGUCGCUGCUAGGC